rnacentral:lncRNA from 1 species
UGCUGAAUGUGGUUUGUGUACAUCUAAAAACAGCUGUGAUAAGAUCUUAUGAACAUCACACUUGCUCCGCUACUGGUGUCAACUCAGCAGAUGAUUUGCAUAAACGGGGUAGGUGACUGAUGAUAAACUGAUAAUGGUUGGUUUGUAUUUAUAAUAGCACCUCAGCUCCCACUUAAAAUACAGCACCCACAGUCUAAACAGUGAAACCUAUGCAUUAACACUGUAAAAGCAGGUAACAGCAUGUGGUGACAGAGCAACUGAUGCAGUGUGAAAGAUGUUAUCUCCACACCGAGGCUGUGGACUCUCCCCUCUGACCGAGGGUGAGCAGCCUGACAUGGAACACCGAGAAAGUGUCGGGGGAACUUUGUGGCAGGAUUAAUUUUAGGUGGAGGACGUCACACUUUCUGUUCCACGAUGGACAGGAUUUAUAGCGGACGCGGAGCGGAGAGAAGAUCACAGCAACAUCAGCAUCACCUUCAGCUGACAGCAUCAUGAAGACUCUCUGCCUCUGCCUGGGCCUGCUGCUGCUCACCGCCUCCUGCUGUUACACAGGUCAGUGAUCUCUGUUUGAGCCUCUAAUGAUGUCUCACUGACAUGUUUUCAUUAACUCUAUUGUUUUUAACAGCCCUGGCUCCAUACAACAUGUUGGCAACCUGUUGCACUGACGUGACUACAAUAAAAGUGCCUCCAAAGUUGAUCAGGAAAAUAUCCAAGACCCACAGCACAUGUUUAAACAAAGCCUUCAUAAUCACGACUGCUGCAGGGAGAAAGAUCUGCUACAGUCAGAUGAAUGAGUGGGCUAUAAAAAUCUAUAAGCAGUAUCACCAGUAAACAGUAAUAAGCUUUUCUGUACCGCACCAUGAUAAAUGCCUGUUUCUGCAGGUACAAAUGUGUCUGAACUUGUUUUUUACAUUCAAAAUAAACAAGAGAAAGAAAUAAAAGAAUUUUUGUUC